rnacentral:rRNA from 1 species
UACGAAGGGGAGCUAGCGUUGCUCGGAAUCACUGGGCGUAAAGCGCACGUAGGCGGAUUGUUAAGUCAGGGGUGAAAUCCUGGGACUCAACUCCGAACUGCCUUUGAUACUGGCAGUAUCUUGAGUCCGGGAGAGGUGAGUGGAACUUCGUCGAGUGUAGAGGUGAAAUUCGUAGAUAUUGCAAGAACACCAGUGGCGAAGGCGGCUCACUGGCCCGGUACUGACGCUGAGGUGCGAAAGCGUGGGGAGCAAACAGGG